AUUGAACGCUGGCGGCGUGCCUAACACAUGCAAGUCGAGCGGUAACAGGUGUAGCAAUACAUGCUGACGAGCGGCGGACGGGUGAGUAACGCUUGGGAAUCUGCCUGUUAGUGGGGGACAACCCGGGGAAACUCGGGCUAAUACCGCAUACGCACUAAGGUGGAAAGUGGGGGACCGCAAGGCCUCACGCGAUUGGGUUGGCCGAUGUCCGAUUAGCUAGUUGGCGGGGUAAGAGCCCACCAAGGCGAUGAUCGGUAGCUGGUCUGAGAGGAUGAUCAGCCACACUGGGACUGAGAGACGGCCCAGACUCCUACGGGAGGCAGCAGUGGGGAAUCUUGCGCAAUGGCCGAAAGGCUGACGCAGCGACGCCGCGU
rnacentral:rRNA from 1 species